rnacentral:misc_RNA from 1 species
UAACCGUAGGUGAACCUGCGGUUGGAUCAUUAUCGAAUGAUUACUAUGGUAGGCGACUUGGAAACAAGUUUGUCUCCCUGGGUGAAAAUCCCAAACAUCUUUUGUGAACCGUAUACCUACAUUUAUGUAACAAAAUUUAACCAAGCCUGAUUCUUAAAGUCUGUAUUAUACAUUCUUUGAUUUAACAAAAGUACAACUUUUGGCAACGGAUCUCUUGGCUCUCGCAUCGAUGAAGAACGCAGC